GGCAACUUGGCCGAGCGGUCUAAGGCGCCACGUUAAGGAACCAUCCUUGAUUUCGAUCUUGAUUCACAGCACUGUGAUGUUAGAUUCCGUGGUCCGAAAGGGCGUGAGUUCGAAUCUCACAGUUGUCA